GUGAAGCCCAGCUUGCUGGGUGGAUCAGUGGCGAACGGGUGAGUAGCACGUGAGCAACCUGCCCUCCACUUCGGGAUAAGCCUUGGAAACGGGGUCUAAUACCGGAUAUGAGCUCGCAUCGCAUGGUGUGGGUUGGAAAGUUUUUCGGUGGGGGAUGGGCUCGCGGCCUAUCAGCUUGUUGGUGGGGUGAUGGCCUACCAAGGCGUCGACGGGUAGCCGGCCUGAGAGGGCGACCGGCCACACUGGGACUGAGACACGGCCCAGACUCCUACGGGAGGCAGCAGUGGGGAAUAUUGCACAAUGGGCGCAAGCCUGAUGCAGCGACGCCGCGUGAGGGAUGACGGCCUUCGGGUUGUAAACCUCUUUCAGCAGGGAAGAAGCGCAAGUGACGGUACCUGCAGAAGAAGCGCCGGCUAACUACGUGCCAGCAGCCGCGGUAAUACGUAGGGCGCAAGCGUUGUCCGGAAUUAUUGGGCGUAAAGAGCUCGUAGGCGGUCUGUCGCGUCUGGUGUGAAAUCCCGAGGCUCAACCUCGGGCUUGCAUCGGGUACGGGCAGACUAGAGUGCGGUAGGGGAGACUGGAAUUCCUGGUGUAGCGGUGGAAUGCGCAGAUAUCAGGAGGAACACCGAUGGCGAAGGCAGGUCUCUGGGCCGCAACUGACGCUGAGGAGCGAAAGCAUGGGGAGCGAACAGGAUUAGAUACCCUGGUAGUCCAUGCCGUAAACGUUGGGCACUAGGUGUGGGGCUCAUUCCACGAGUUCCGUGCCGCAGCUAACGCAUUAAGUGCCCCGCCUGGGGAGUACGGCCGCAAGGCUAAAACUCAAAGGAAUUGACGGGGGCCCGCACAAGCGGCGGAGCAUGCGGAUUAAUUCGAUGCAACGCGAAGAACCUUACCAAGGCUUGACAUGUACGAGAAAGCCCCCGAGACGGGGUUCUCUUUGGACACUCGUACACAGGUGGUGCAUGGUUGUCGUCAGCUCGUGUCGUGAGAUGUUGGGUUAAGUCCCGCAACGAGCGCAACCCUCGUCCUAUGUUGCCAGCGGGUUAUGCCGGGGACUCAUGGGAGACUGCCGGGGUCAACUCGGAGGAAGGUGGGGAUGACGUCAAAUCAUCAUGCCCCUUAUGUCUUGGGCUUCACGCAUGCUACAAUGGCCGGUACAGAGGGCUGCGAUACCGUAAGGUGGAGCGAAUCCCAAAAAGCCGGUCUCAGUUCGGAUUGGGGUCUGCAACUCGACCCCA
rnacentral:rRNA from 1 species